CGGAGCGCUGCGCCCGCGGGCUGACCUCGUUGAAGUCGACCCAUGACGUCACCCCGCCGUGACGCGUACGCAGUAGGAAAACUAUAAAGAUGGAUGUCAUGCAUUAUUCAGUAUGGAAGUUUCAGAAGUUAGAAGACAUUUGCUAAAUCAAGUUACUUCACGAAAGCUACUCUUCGGGUCAUAUACAUCAUAAUGCGGAAUUCUUCAUCAGUACCACCAAAAGAUCAAGGAAAAUGGGCCACACCUCGAAGCUGACUGCUGGGUAAACGAAAGGACUGAAUCUAUGGGAAAGUUUUGCAAUGAAGAACCAGCAGGGGAAGGUGCUUGCUGCCGCUCCUGAUGACCUCAGUUGGAUCCUUGGAACCCACAAUGUGGAAGUAGAGGACUGACUCCCACCAGUAAUCCUCUGAACUCCAGAUGUGCUGCCAGUUGUCCUCUGAACCCCAGAUGUGCCAUGGCAAGUGGGUACAAUAUGUAUGUGUAACUGUAACAACAAAAAAAUGUUUUUUUAAGUUGCCAAGUCAAAUAUUAACCCUAAGCAAUAAAUCCAUUUCUCCAUCUGC
rnacentral:lncRNA from 1 species